UGGAAGUCCAGCCCUGUGGACUAUAGCACUAUCAGCAAAUCAUAUGUGGCACUGACAGAAGCAGGGCAAGCUUUCUCACAUUGGCCCUGCCACUGAACCUCAAUCCUAAACUGCAGGAACCACCUUUUAAAGGGUGAGAGAGUAGUUCAGUCUCACUCAAUCCUUGGCUUUU
ensembl:misc_RNA